rnacentral:snRNA from 1 species
GUGCUCGCUUCGGCAGCACAUACACUAAAAAAUUGGAACGAUACAGAGAAGAUUAGCAUGGCCCCUGCACAAGGAUGGCAUGCAAAUUUGUGAAGCGUUCUGUAUUUUU